rnacentral:rRNA from 1 species
CCUACGGGUGGCAGCAGUGGGGAAUAUUGCGCAAUGGUCGAAAGACUGACGCAGCGACGCCGCGUGGAGGAUGAAGCCCUUCGGGGUGUAAACUCCUGUUGCUCGGGACGAACCUCCCCUUUCGAGGGGACUGACGGUACCGAGUGAGGAAGCACCGGCUAACUCUGUGCCAGCAGCCGCGGUAAUACAGAGGGUGCGAGCGUUGUCCGGAAUCACUGGGCGUAAAGGGCGCGUAGGCGGCUUGGUAAGCGUGCGGUGAAAGCUCAGGGCUCAAC